rnacentral:rRNA from 1 species
GACUGUGGGGGAUAAGCUUCAUAGUCGAGAGGGAAACAGCCCAGAUCGCCGGCUAAGGCCCCUAAGCGUGUACUAAGUGGAAAAGGAUGUGGGAUCGCUUAGACAACCAGGAGGUUGGCUCAGAAGCAGCCACCCUUGAAAGAGUGCGUAAUAGCUCACUGGUCAAGUGGUCCUGCGCCGACAAUGUAGUGGGGCUCAAGUACACCGCCGAAGCCGCGGCAUUCCUUUUUGGGAUGGGUAGGGGAGCGUCGUGUAUCCGUUGAAGCUGCAGAGUGAUCUAGUGGUGGAGGGUAUGCGAGUGAGAAUGCAGGCAUGAGUAGCGAAUGACAUGUGGGAAACAUGUCCUCCGGAUGACCAAGGGUUCCUGGGCUAGGCUAAUCCUCCCAGGGUGAGUCGGGUCCUAAGGCAAGGCCGACAGGCGUAGUCGAUGGAUAACGGGUUGAUAUUCCCGUACCCGUAUAAGCGCGCCCAUGGUGAAUCAGUGAUACUAACUGUCCAGAAGCUGCUGUUUUCUCUUUUUAAGGAGAUGGUUGUGGAUGCACAGGACCUGAUCUGGUAGUAGCCAAGCGAUGGGGUGACGCAGGAAGGUAGCUGUGCCAGGUAGUGGAUUGCCUGGUGUAAGCGUGUAGGGUGACAGGUUGGUAAAUCCGCUUGUUGUGUACCUGAGACGUGAUGCGUAGCCAUUGUGGUGAAGUUAGUGAUCCUAUGCUGCCGAGAAAAGCCUCUAGUGAGUUCUUAUGCGGCCCGUACCCUAAACCGACACAGGUGGUCAGGUAGAGAAUACUAAGGAGUUCGAGAGAACUGUGGUUAAGGAAUUCGGCAAAAUGCCCCCGUAACUUUGGAAGAAGGGGGACCGAUGUUGGUGAGCACUUUUUCGGUGUGAGCUGGUGUUGGUCGCAGAGACCAGAGAGAAGCGACUGUUUACCAAAAACACAGGUCCGAGCCCCAGUAAACGGCGGUGGUAACUAUAACCAUCCUAAGGUAGCGAAAUUCCUUGUCGGGUAAGUUCCGACCUGCACGAAUGGCGUAACGACUUCUCUACUGUCUCAACCACAGACUCGGCGAAAUUGCAUUACGAGUAAAGAUGCUCGUUACGCGCGGCAGGACGAAAAGACCCCGGGACCUUUACUAUAGCUUGGCAUUGGUGUUCGGUUUUGUUUGUGUAGGAUAGGUGGGAGACUGUGAAGCUCAUGCGCUAGUGUGGGUGGAGUCGUUGUUGAAAUACCACUCUGAUGAAAUUGGACUUCUAACCUCGGACCAUGAUCUGGUUUAGGGACAGUGCCUGGUGGGUAGUUUAACUGGGGCGGUUGCCUCCCAAAGAGUAACGGAGGCGCCCAAAGGUUCCCUCAGCCUGGUUGGCAAUCAGGUGUU